AUGGAGAAGGCGAGAGCCGUCCGACGGCUCGGCGUCGCCAGCGCCGUCGAGGUUUACCGAGACCGCCUCGUGAUCCGCCUCCCGGAUCCGCGCUUCCUGCGCCUCCUCGCCCGAUCGGUGCUCCUCGCCCUCGUCAUCAUGUCCUUCCCCUGGCUCCAGGCCUCCCUCCUCCGCCGCUUGGACUCCACGGAGAGCGUCGCUCCCGGCAACGGCAACGGUGCGUCCCCCCUCGUCACCGUCCCGCCGAUCGACGAUGAGGCGUUCGUGCUGCCGAUUCUCCUCGGCGAUCUCCGUCUCCGCGGGCUGCUCCGGCCGGGUGACCGCGCCGUGUUCCUUGGCGACCCCGGCGUCCAGCUCCCGCACCUGAAGCAGAAUGGGGUCGAUCCGAUCUCCAGCGACCGGAUGCCGGCCGUCCCCGAAGGCGCCGUCGACUUCGUCAUCUCCGCCGGCGAAGUCCUCGCCGCUGCCGGCCUCUCCGGGUUCGAUUUCAUCGACCGGGCCCUCAAGAUCGACGGCGUUGCCACCGUCCGCGUCAGCUCCGACCCCCUGGAGCCCUUCCGCCUGCCGGAAAACUACCGCGUUGCUUACAUCCGCCGGAUCGGCGCCGCCACCAUUGUGGCGAUGAGGAAAAAAUCGGCGUCGGCCACAACCGAGACCGACACCUCCACCGGAGAGGCACCGGGUGUGGUGCGGCAGUGGAGCGGGUGGCGGCUACUGGCUGUGCCGGAGGCGAAGAAGGAGGUGCUGAAUGGGCUGGAGGGAGUGCUACUGGAGCCGCCGAGGACGUCGAGGCGGCAGCCGUCGCUGCGGCCGCGGUACCUACCGGAACUGACGGGGGACUCGCUAGCAGGAUACCGGCGGCGGGUGUUCGUGGACGUAGGGCCGGCGGGGACUCGGGGGGGGAGCGCGGCUGCGUGGUUCGAGCGCCAUUACCCGAAGGGCGACCGCGACUUCGAGAUCAUCCGGGUGGAUGUGGCGGUGGGCGAAGCGGAGGCGGCGGCCGCGGCCGGGAUGGCGGAGUGGCUGGAAGAGAACGUCCGGGAGGAGGAGUACGUGGUGAUGAAGGCGGAGGCGGAAGUGGUGGAGGAGGUGGUGAAAGGGCGGGCAAUCAGGCUCGUCGACGAGCUCUUCCUCGAGUGCGACCACCUGUGGGAGAAAAAGAAAGGAAGGAAAGAGAUGAGAAGCCGGAGGGCUUAUCGGGAGUGCCUCGCGCUCUAUGGGAAGCUCCGGGACCAAGGGGUGGCCGUCCACCAGUGGUUUGAUUGAUUGGCUCGCGAAAUCUUCUUAAAAAGAAAGAGAGUCUGAGGAGAAAAAUAGAGGCAGAGAAGAAGACGAAAGAGGAAAAGGAGAGGGAGGGAAGGGAUGAGUGGAAGGGUCGAGUGUGCUGUGAGCGGGGUGAGACAAUGUGGUGGGAUGCUGUGGUUUGGUGGAACAGUGGGAGGGGAUUGUGUGUUCCGGAACCGGUGUUUGAGUUGCUAAUUUGAGGGAGGUUGCAGACUUGUAGGGGGAGGUGAUGGCCGUGUUACACGGGGCUUAUUUUAUUUGGGUUCGUUUCAUUUGUUUAUAUUUGUUUUUGUUGGGUGUUCCG